AAUGAACGCUGGCGGCGUGCCUAAUACAUGCAAGUCGAGCGAUGCGGGGACGGGUGAGAAACACGUUUAUAACCUCCUAUAAGACUGGUAAAACUUCGGGAAACCGGAGCUAACCCCUAUACUUAUAUCUGGAUCCCAGCUGCAUUAGCUGUUUGGUAAGUUAACGGAUUACCAAGGCAACGAUGCAUAGCCGACCUGAGAGGGUGACCGGUCACACUGGAAAUGAGACACGGUCCAGCAUCCUACGGGAGGCAGCAGUAGGGAAUCUUCCGCAAUGGGCGAAAGCGUGAAGGGGCAACGCCGCGUGAGUGAUGAAGGUCUUCGGUUCGUAAAACUCUGUUAUUAGGGAAGCGGUACCUAAUCAGAAAGCCCCGGCUAACUACGUGCCAGCAGCCGCGGUAAUUC
rnacentral:rRNA from 1 species